AUUUUCUAAAUUUAUGUUUUAAAUGGUAUUUUGGUAUUUUCAAGUUAAAAGACAUACUCCAAUUCGCGAAAUCCGUGCGUGCAACAUACAUUCACCUCGUAAAAAUCUUAUUAGCUUUGAUUAAUUUCUAUAAGGGGAUAUUUGCUAAUAUUUUUAACAUGAGCGUUUUUUCAGCAAUUAAAGAUUACACACGCAUAAUUCUUGCAAAAACGCAAAUUGAGAGGUUCUAAUAACUAUUAAAUUUAUCCAAAGAAAAUAAUAUUGCGUCG
rnacentral:lncRNA from 1 species